rnacentral:rRNA from 1 species
AGAAAUAGGUGCUAAUACCGCAUAAGCGCACGGCUCCGCAUGGGGCAGUGUGAAAAACUCCGGUGGUAUGAGAUGGACCCGCGUCUGAUUAGCUGGUUGGUGAGGUAACGGCCCACCAAGGCGACGAUCAGUAGCCGACCUGAGAGGGUGGCCGGCCACAUUGGGACUGAGACACGGCCCAAACUCCUACGGGAGGCAGCAGUGGGGAAUAUUGCACAAUGGGGGAAACCCUGAUGCAGCAACGCCGCGUGAGUGAAGAAGUAUUUCGGUAUGUAAAGCUCUAUCAGCAGGGAAGAAGAAAGACGGUACCUGACUAAGAAGCCCCGGCUAACUACGUGCCAGCAGCCGCGGUAAUACGUAGGGGGCAAGCGUUAUCCGGAUUUACUGGGUGUAAAGGGAGCGUAGACGGCCGAUCAAGUCUGGAGUGAAAGCCCGGGGCCCAACCCCGGGACUGCUCUGGAAACUGGUGGGCUAGAGUGCUGGAGAGGUAAGUGGAAUUCCUAGUGUAGCGGUGAAAUGCGUAGAUAUUAGGAGGAACACCAGUGGCGAAGGCGGCUUACUGGACAGUAAAUGACGCUGAGGCUCGAAAGCGUGGGGAGCAAACAGGAUUAGAUACCCUGGUAGUCCACGCCGUAAACGAUGAUCACUAGGUGU